ACCAACUUUAUAUAAAAGAUUGAGCCCAAAGCUCCACCAAAUGAAUAUCUUUCUUUAGCUAGAAAACUCUCAAUUCUUAUUUAUGAAGUGGAAUAAGGAUGACUUGCAUGAUGUUUUAUGUGUUGUGAUAUAUAAGUUGAAAGCCAUUUGUGAGGAAGUCUUUUUAUAGGCUCAUGGAGUCUUAAGUUAAUAUGGUCUACUAUUAGCCAAAAUAAUAAACUAGAGAGAGAAUGUGAUACCUUUUUAUAUUACAAAAAAUAAUAAUAAUUAGGCCUUUAACAUGUGGGA
rnacentral:lncRNA from 1 species